CGGGGCAGACUCCACUUCCCAGAAUGCCUCAGGAAACACUGCCUUGCACGUUUGUGCUUUAUACAACAAGGACAGCUGUGCACGAAUUCUACUUUACAGGGGAGCCAAUAAAGACACAAAGAAUAACAGUGGGCAGAACCCAUUUCAGGUGGCUGUCAUGUCCGGCCAUUUUGAACUAGGAGAGAUUAUCAAAAACCACCGGGACACAUAUGUAGUACCUUUUCUUGAGUCUCCCAAAUACGCCCCUCAGAGGCGAGAGAGUGCACCGCGCACCCUGGCGCUGCCCCACCCUCACCCCUUCCUGCGUGCCAACAGUGAUAACAGUAUGAACCUGCCUGACUGGAUGGCACUGCCCAAUACACCAGGCUCCAACAUAGUGUCUGUACAGGGCUAUAAGCAUUCAGGUACCAUGCGCAGCUCCAGUAGUCCCCGUGGGGCGCGGACUCGCUCCCCGUCAAGAGGGAGAGCAGGGGAUAAGGAGGACAGGAGUCGGCAGAGUCGGAGGCAGGGAGGAG